rnacentral:rRNA from 1 species
ACUCCUACGGGAGGCAGCAGUGGGGAAUAUUGCACAAUGGGGGAAACCCUGAUGCAGCCAUGCCGCGUGUGUGAAGAAGGCCUUCGGUUGUAAGCACUUUCAGUAGGGAGGAAGGUAGUGUAGUUAACACCUGCAUUAUUUGUACGUUACCUACAGAAGAAGCACCGGCUAACUCCGUGCCAGCAGCCGCGGUAAUACGGAGGGUGCGAGCGUUAAUCGGAAUUACUGGGCGUAAAGCGCAUGCAGGCGGCCUGUUAAGUCAGAUGUGAAAGCCCGGGGCUUAACCUCGGAAUUGCAUUUGAAACUGGCAGGCUAGAGUCUUGUAGAGGGGGGUAGAAUUUCAGGUGUAGCGGUGAAAUGCGUAGAGAUCUGAAGGAAUACCAGUGGCGAAGGCGGCCCCCCU